AAUGUACUUAAGGAGUGCAUGAAACUUUAUAAAUUAUAAAGUGCUAAAAUCAUAUUCUAUUUCUUACAUGUAUACGGAAAAAAUAUGGUUGAAAUAGUCAAAUUUAUUUAUGGUUUGAUUAUCAUUCUUUUCAUAUAUCUUAUUGGAAUGAAUGUUGAUGCGGUUACAUACUGUACUCAAAAUUAUGAUUGUCCGGAUGACAUGUGCCCAUUUCCUGAUAUAUCAUGGUGUAAUAAACACAACAUAUGUGCAUGUGCUUGAGUGGUGGCAUUUAGUAUGCACAAGUGUUAAACUUGUGCACCAUGCACAAAUUGUUUGUUGAAGGCCAGGUGUGGGUUGCUUACCUGCUGGAAUAAAAAUAAAUAAAAAAUUGAAACAUAUUUUAAUAGUAAAUAUUGAUUGUUUGUUUUUGUUAAUUGAACUCCUAUAAAUGAUUAAAAACAAUUACACCUCCA